GAGUUUGAUCGUGGCUCAGGAUGAACGCUGGCGGCGUGCUUAACACAUGCAAGUCGAGCGAAGCACUUUCUCGGAAGUUUUCGGACGGAAGAGGAUUUGACUGAGCGGCGGACGGGUGAGUAACGCGUGGGAACCUGCCUCAUACAGGGGAAUAACAGAUGGAAACGUCUGCUAAUGCCGCAUAAGCGCACACUGUGGCAUCACAGAGUGUGAAAAAACUCCGGUGGUAUGAGAUGGCCCCGCGUCUGAUUAGGCAGUUGGCGGGGUAACGGCCCACCAAACCGACGAUCAGUAGCCGACCUGAGAGGGUGACCGGCCACAUUGGGACUGAGGCACGGCCCAAAACUCCUACGGGAGGCAGCAGUGGGGAAUAUUGCACAAUGGGGGAAACCCUGAUGCAGCGACGCCGCGUGGGUGACGAAGUAUUUCGGUAU
rnacentral:rRNA from 1 species